rnacentral:rRNA from 1 species
UACGAAGGGGGCUAGCGUUGCUCGGAAUCACUGGGCGUAAAGGGUGCGUAGGCGGGUCUUUAAGUCAGGGGUGAAAUCCUGGAGCUCAACUCCAGAACUGCCUUUGAUACUGAGGAUCUUGAGUCCGGGAGAGGUGAGUGGAACUGCGAGUGUAGAGGUGAAAUUCGUAGAUAUUCGCAAGAACACCAGUGGCGAAGGCGGCUCACUGGCCCGGUACUGACGCUGAGGCACGAAGGUCAGGGGAGCAAACGGG